UCCUUUGACAACUCUAGAGAUAGAGCUUUCCCCUUCGGGGGACAAAGUGACAGGUGGUGCAUGGUUGUCGUCAGCUCGUGUCGKGAGAUGUUGGGUUAAGUCCCGCAACGAGCGCAACCCUUAUCUUUAGUUGCCAUCAUUAGGUUGGGCACUCUARAGAGACUGCCGGUGACAAACCGGAGGAAGGKGGGGAUGACGUCAAAUCMUCMUGCCCCUUAUGAUUUGGGCUACACACGUGCUACAAUGGAUGGUACAAAGGGCAGCAAAACCGCGAGGUCAAGCAAAUCCCAUAAAACCAUUCUCAGUUCGGAUUGUAGUCUGCAACUCGACUACAUGAAGCUGGAAUCGCUAGUAAUCGUAGAUCAGCAUGCUACGGUGAA
rnacentral:rRNA from 1 species